rnacentral:rRNA from 1 species
GUGGGGAAUUUUGGACAAUGGGCGCAAGCCUGAUCCAGCAAUGCCGCGUGCAGGAAGAAGGCCUUCGGGUUGUAAACUGCUUUUGUACGGAACGAAACGGUCCUGGUUAAUACCUGGGGCUAAUGACGGUACCGUAAGAAUAAGCACCGGCUAACUUCGUGCCAGCAGCCGCGGUAAUACGAAUGGUGCAAGCGUUAAUCGGAAUUACUGGGCGUAAAGCGCGCGUAGGUGGUUUUGUAAGUUGGAGGUGAAAUCCCCGGGCUCAACCUGGGAACUGCAUCUGUGACUGCAUUGCUGGAGUGCGGCAGAGGGGGAUGGAAUUCCGCGUGUAGCAGUGAAAUGCGUAGAUAUGCGGAGGAACACCGAUGGCGAAGGCAAUCCCCUGGGCCUGCACUGACGCUCAUGCACGAAAGCGUGGGGAGCAAACAGGAUUAGAAACCCCUGUAGUCC